rnacentral:rRNA from 1 species
CCCAACGGGAGUCAUGUCCCGUUACUCCGCAAGGAGGGCAAACCCGGGGAAGUGAAACAUCUCAGUACCCGGAGGAAGAGAAAACAAACGUGAUUCCCUUAGUAGUGGCGAGCGAAAAGGGAAAAGUCCAAACCGGUGUCCAAUGGGCAUCGGGGUUGUAGGGCGCUCAAUAAAGUGUAUGAUAACUGAUAGCAGAAUUGACCUGGAAAGUCAAGCCAUAGAAGGUGAAAGCCCUGUAAGCGAAAUCGGAAGUUGGCAUGAGAGCGUACCUGAGUACCGCGGAGCAGGUGGAAUUCUGCGGGAACCAGCCGGAACCAUCCGGUAAGACUAAAUACUCCUGUGUGACCGAUAGUGAACCAGUACCGUGAGGGAAAGGUGAAAAGAACCCUUAAGAAGGGAGUGAAAAGAAUCUGAAACC